CCUACGGGAGGCAGCAGUGAGGAAUAUUGGUCAAUGGACGAGAGUCUGAACCAGCCAAGUAGCGUGAAGGAUGACUGCCCUAUGGGUUGUAAACUUCUUUUAUAAAGGAAUAAAACGAGGCACGUGUGCCUGUUUGCAUGUACUUUAUGAAUAAGGAUCGGCUAACUCCGUGCCAGCAGCCGCGGUAAUACGGAGGAUCCGAGCGUUAUCCGGAUUUAUUGGGUUUAAAGGGAGCGUAGAUGGGUUGUUAAGUCAGUUGUGAAAGUUUGCGGCUCAACCGUAAAAUUGCAAUUGAUACUGGCAGUCUUGAGUACAGUUGAGGUAGGCGGAAUUCGUGGUGUAGCGGUGAAAUGCUUAGAGAUCACGAAGAACCCCGAUUGCGAAGGCAGCUUACUAAACUGUGACUGACAUUGAUGCUCGAAAGUGUGGGUAUCAAACAGGAUUAGAUACCCGUGUAGUC
rnacentral:rRNA from 1 species